UACGGGGGGGGCAAGCGUUGUUCGGAAUUACUGGGCGUGAAGGGCUCGUAGGCGGCCAACUAAGUCGGAUGUGAAAUCCCUCGGCUUAACCGGGGAACUGCGUCUGAUACUGGAUGGCUUGAGUGUGGGAGAGGGAUGCGGAAUUCCAGGUGUAGCGGUGAAAUGCGUAGAUAUCAGGAGGAACACCGGUGGCGAAGGCGGAUCUCUGGGCCUGUUCUGACGCUGAGGCGCGAAAGCUAGGGGAGCGAACAGG
rnacentral:rRNA from 1 species